AAUGUUGGCUAUUGUUAAUUGUUGUGCAUAAGUUGUUAUUACAGUGAUCGAAGGUUGUCAUUAACGACCCUAUGACCUGUCCUGUUAUGUAGGAUAGAAGACUUGAGUAAGUUGUAAAAUU